rnacentral:tRNA from 1 species
GGGGCUGUAGCUCAGUUGGCUAGAGCGUCCGGCUGGCAGCCGGGAGGUCAAGGGUUCGAAUCCCUUCAGCUCCA